UACGAAGGGUGCUAGCGUUGUUCGGAAUUACUGGGCGUAAAGGGCGCGUAGGCGGAUAUGUAAGUUAGGUGUGAAAUCCCUGGGCUCAACCCAGGAACUGCACUUAAUACUUCAAAUCUAGAGUGCGAAAGGGAGAGACGGAAUGGCGAGUGGAGCAGUGAAAUGCGUUGAUAUUCGUUGGAACACCGGUGGCGAAGGCGGUCUCUUGGUUCGUAACUGACGCUAAGGCGCGAAAGCGUGGGGAGCAAACAGG
rnacentral:rRNA from 1 species